rnacentral:rRNA from 1 species
AGUGAACGCUGGCGGUAGGCCUAACACAUGCAAGUCGAACGGCAGCACAGUAAGAGCUUGCUCUUACGGGUGGCGAGUGGCGGACGGGUGAGGAAUACAUCGGAAUCUACUUUUUCGUGGGGGAUAACAUAGGGAAACUUACGCUAAUACCGCAUACGACCUACGGGUGAAAGCAGGGGAGCUUCGGACCUUGCGCGAUUGAAUGAGCCGAUGUCGGAUUAGCUAGUUGGCGGGGUAAAGGCCCACCAAGGCGACGAUCCGUAGCUGGUCUGAGAGGAUGAUCAGCCACACUGGAACUGAGACACGGUCCAGACUCCUACGGGAGGCAGCAGUGGGGAAUAUUGGACAAUGGGCGCAAGCCUGAUCCAGCCAUACCGCGUGGGUGAAGAAGGCCUUCGGGUUGUAAAGCCCUUUUGUUGGGAAAGAAAAGCAGCAGGUUAAUACCCCGCUGUUCUGACGGUACCCAAAGAAUAAGCACCGGCUAACUUCGUG